GGGACCGGGGGAAGGGCUCUGGUGGGUCGCGACGGCCCGAUCCUCGGCUGCGCUGUUUAACGCCCAGAUUUAGGCUGGCGACGGCAGGGCCAGUGCGAGCCGGGUCCCUGAGCUCAUCCGUGCGACCUGGCGCGGUCCCGCAGGUCGGGCCCAAGAGAUCCCCGGGGUUCUCUGUCCGGCACCUCCACCCCGCCCGGGUCGCGGAGGCCCCUUCUUCGCUCUCUGCCGCCGAUUUACAUGCUAAUUGUGUCUGGGAAAAGUUCUUUAAUUGGCAGAAUUAGGCAGAGCAAACGAAUUGUUUCACAGGCUGAACCAAAUUAAUUCCGGGUUUAGCUUCUUCCCUUGGAGAAACAAACAAUUAAGCUGUCUUGUUUGCUUUAUGGAUAUAUUGGAAAUGCCCCACAUCGAGUUUCAGGAUAUGUUUUUAAAAGGAAAUUAUUUUUCAUUAUUAAUACUUGCAUGUUUAAUUUGCAGUAAGGCUGAGCCAAGAAGCAAAAGAUUAAAUUUACCUAAUUUAAAAUUAUAGAAUGCCAGAAGAAAAGUGUUUGAGUUAACUUUUGCUCGACUAAGAAAUACUACCCGGAAUCUUCCUGGCAAUUACUAGAUUGUAGAGUCUCACCGUCCAAUUAGGCGCCCAUCAUCCUGACCAGACUCAUUUCCAGGAACCGACUUUAACUUUUCCAUAAGACCGCUGCCCCUCCAAAGCCUUUGAAAUCUGCCGUCUACCCUGUCCCUUCAGGAAAAGAAAGCCAGAGGGGGAGUUAAAAGGAUCACAGAGAGAAGGAGAAGGAAAUUUACACUGUUUUGUAGUUAAGUGGCAUGAAGUGGAGUGAGGAGGGCCUUGGUCUCUGGAGGCCGAUUGUGGUUAUGUCAUUUACUGGCUGGUGAUCUUGCGCAAGUCGCUUCUCUCUCUGGAGCCCCAGUGGACACACCUGUCAAUGGGGAUUCAUGGACUUCUCACUUCCCAGGAAUUGUGUGAAUUAAAUGAGAUGCUGAGUGUAGGGCCACGAGUCUAGGGGCUGGCACACACUGCUUAAAGGUUAACUAGCAUCAUAGUCAUCUUUGUCAUCUUCCACAUCAGUCCUACUACCGCAUUUUACAGGAGUCAGAUGGAGGCACAGAGGAAAGACUCGGCUUGCUUUGUGUCAGUGCUGGGAACUACCCAUAACAACUCCUCUUCAAUAAAUGCCUAUAAGACAAUGCCCGCCUUCCCUCACAUCACCUGGAAAAGGUAUGGAGGAAGAUUAAAUAAAAACUUGCCCAGGAACUGUUUAAAGACGACAUCUAGCUAUUUGAUCAGAAUCUCUGCUUUAAGACAAAAAGGAGUAAAGACCGUGGAAAAGGAAGAGUCUGCUGGUGCCUACGGCCAUCUCCUUAAGAGUGUGACUUCCUGGGAGC
rnacentral:lncRNA from 1 species